rnacentral:rRNA from 1 species
CCACGGGUGGCUGCAGUGGGGAAUAUUGGACAAUGGGGGCAACCCUGAUCCAGCCAUGCCGCGUGUGUGAAGAAGGCCUUUUGGUUGUAAAGCACUUUAAGCAGUGAAGAAGACCAUAUGGUUAAUACCCAUAUGCGAUGACAUUAGCUGCAGAAUAAGCACCGGCUAACUCUGUGCCAGCAGCCGCGGUAAUACAGAGGGUGCAAGCGUUAAUCGGAAUUACUGGGCGUAAAGCGAGCGUAGGUGGCUUGAUAAGUCAGAUGUGAAAUCCCCGGGCUUAACCUGGGAACUGCAUCUGAUACUGUUAAGCUAGAGGAGGUGAGAGGGAAGUAGAAUUCCAGGUGUAGCGGUGAAAUGCGUAGAGAUCUGGAGGAAUACCGAUGGCGAAGGCAGCUUCCUGGCAUCAUACUGACACUGAGGUUCGAAAGCGUGGGUAGCAAACAGGAUUAGAUACCCGUGUAGUC